rnacentral:rRNA from 1 species
GAUGAACGCUGGCGGCGUGCUUAACACAUGCAAGUCGAACGGAAAGGCCCAAGCUUGCUUGGGUCCUCGAGUGGCGAACGGGUGAGUAACACGUGGGUGAUCUGCCCUGCACUUCGGGAUAAGCCUGGGAAACUGGGUCUAAUACCGGAUAGGACCACAUUUUGGAUGGUGUGGUGGAAAGUUUUUCGGUGUGGGAUGAGCUCGCGGCCUAUCAGCUUGUUGGUGGGGUAAUGGCCUACCAAGGCGUCGACGGGUAGCCGGCCUGAGAGGGUGUACGGCCACAUUGGGACUGAGAUACGGCCCAGACUCCUACGGGAGGCAGCAGUGGGGAAUAUUGCACAAGGGGCGCAAGCCUGAUGCAGCGACGCCGCGUGGGGGAUGACGGCCUUCGGGUUGGAAACUCCUUUCGCUAGGGACGAAGCGUUAUGUGACGGUACCUGGAGAAGAAGCACCGGCUAACUACGUG